UUGGAGGGCAAGUCUGGUGCCAGCAGCCGCGGUAAUUCCAGCUCCAGUAGCGUAUAUUAAAGUUGUUGCAGUUAAAAAGCUCGUAGUUGAAUUUCGGGAUUAGUACGUCGGUCGUGCCUUAGGUACGUACUGGUGUUACUGGUUCCUACCUUCUGACGAACCAUCAUGUCAUUAAUUUGGUGUGGUGGGGAAUCAGGACUGUUACUUUGAAAAAAUUAGAGUGUUUAAAGCAGGCUCGCGCUUGAAUACAUUAGCAUGGAAUAAUGAAAUAGGACGUUGAUCCUAUUUUGUUGGUUUCUAGGAUUGACGUAAUGAUUAAUAGGGAUAGUUGGGGGCAUUAGUAUUCAAUUGUCAGAGGUGAAAUUCUUGGAUUUAUUGAAGACUAACUACUGCGAAAGCAUUUGCCAAGGAUGUUUUCAUUAAUCAAGAACGAAAGUUAGGGGAUCGAAGACGAUCAGAUACCGUCGUAGUCUUAACCAUAAACUAUGCCGACUAGGGAUCGGAUGAUGUUAAUUUUUUAAUGACUCAUUCGGCGCCUUACGGGAAAC
rnacentral:rRNA from 1 species